AGAGUUUGAUCAUGGCUCAGAUUGAACGCUGGCGGCAGGCCUAACACAUGCAAGUCGAACGGUAACAGGAAUCAGCUUGCUGAUUCGCUGACGAGUGGCGGACGGGUGAGUAAUGUCUGGGAAACUGCCUGAUGGAGGGGGAUAACUACUGGAAACGGUAGCUAAUACCGCAUAACGUCGCAAGACCAAAGAGGGGGACCUUCGGGCCUCUUGCCAUCGGAUGUGCCCAGAUGGGAUUAGCUAGUAGGUGGGGUAACGGCUCACCUAGGCGACGAUCCCUAGCUGGUCUGAGAGGAUGACCAGCCACACUGGAACUGAGACACGGUCCAGACUCCUACGGGAGGCAGCAGUGGGGAAUAUUGCACAAUGGGCGCAAGCCUGAUGCAGCCAUGCCGCGUGUAUGAAGAAGGCCUUCGGGUUGUAAAGUACUUUCAGCGGGGAGGAAGGGAGUAAAGUUAAUACCUUUGCUCAUUGACGUUACCCGCAGAAGAAGCACCGGCUAACUCCGUGCCAGCAGCCGCGGUAAUACGGAGGGUGCAAGCGUUAAUCGGAAUUACUGGGCGUAAAGCGCACGCAGGCGGUUUGUUAAGUCAGAUGUGAAAUCCCCGGGCUCAACCUGGGAACUGCAUCUGAUACUGGCAAGCUUGAGUCUCGUAGAGGGGGGUAGAAUUCCAGGUGUAGCGGUGAAAUGCGUAGAGAUCUGGAGGAAUACCGGUGGCGAAGGCGGCCCCCUGGACGAAGACUGACGCUCAGGUGCGAAAGCGUGGGGAGCAAACAGGAUAGAUACCCUGGUAGUCCAC
rnacentral:rRNA from 1 species